UUGCUUCAGCAGCAUGUCCAGUAAAAUUGGAACAAUACAGAGAAGACCAGCAUGACCCCUAUGCAAGGAUGACAUGCAGAUUCUUGAGGCGUUCCAUAUUUUU